rnacentral:rRNA from 1 species
UACGGAGGGCGCUAGCGUUAUUCGGAAUUACUGGGCGUAAAGCGCACGUAGGCGGCUUUGUAAGUUAGAGGUGAAAGCCUGGAGCUCAACUCCAGAAUUGCCUUUAAGACUGCAUCGCUUGAAUCCAGGAGAGGUGAGUGGAAUUCCGAGUGUAGAGGUGAAAUUCGUAGAUAUUCGGAAGAACACCAGUGGCGAAGGCGGCUCACUGGACUGGUAUUGACGCUGAGGUGCGAAAGCGUGGGGAGCAAACAGG